rnacentral:rRNA from 1 species
UGAGAUCUUAUCAGAGAUGCUUUGGUGUCUUCGGGUACNCUGUAGACNGGUGCUGUAUNNNUGUCNUNNGCUCGCUGUUGUGAAAUGUUGUGGUUAACGUCCCGCAACGAGCGCAUACCCUUCAUCCUUUGUUGCCAGCGCGUUCGUGCCGGGUAACUCNNAGGAGACUGCCAGUGAUAAACUGGAGGAAGGUGGGGAUNANGUCAAGUCAUCUAUGGCCCUUNCGAGUAGGGCUACACACGUGCUACAAUGGCGUAUACAAAGAGAAGCGACCUCGCGAGAGCAAGCGUGUACCUCAUAAAGUACGUCGUAGUCCGGAUUGGAGUCUGCAACUCGACUCCAUGAA